rnacentral:rRNA from 1 species
CCUACGGGAGGCAGCAGUGGGGGAUAUUGCACAAUGGGGGAAACCCUGAUGCAGCGACGCCGCGUGGGCGAAGAAGUAUUUCGGUAUGUAAAGCCCUAUCAGCAGGGAAGAAGAAAUGACGGUACAUGAGUAAGAAGCACAGGCUAAAUACGUGCCAGCAGCCGCGGUAAUACGCAUGGGGCAAGCGUUAUCCGGAUUUACUGGGUGAAAAGGGAGCGCAGGCGGCACGGCAAGCCUGAUGUGAAAGCCCGCGGCCCAACCGCGGGACUGCAUUGGGAACUACCGGGCUGGAGUGCCGGAGAGGUCGGCGUCCUUCCUAGUGUAGCGGUGAGCUGCGUCGAUCUUAGGAGGAACACCAGUGGCGACGGCGGCCUACUGUACGGUGCCUGACGCUGCGGCUC